rnacentral:tRNA from 1 species
GGACCCCUAGCUUAGUUGGUUAGAGCACCCGGCUCAUAACCGGGCGGUCACCGGUUCAAAUCCGGUGGGGUCCA